rnacentral:rRNA from 1 species
CAGCCGCCGCGGGAAUACCGAGGGUGCGAGCGUUAAUCGGAUUUACUGGGCGUAAAGCGUGCGUAGGCGGCUUCUUAAGUCGGAUGUGAAAUCCCUGAGCUUAACUUAGGAAUUGCAUUCGAUACUGGGAAGCUAGAGUAUGGGAGAGGAUGGUAGAAUUCCAGGUGUAGCGGUGAAAUGCGUAGAGAUCUGGAGGAAUACCGAUGGCGAAGGCAGCCAUCUGGCCUAAUACUGACGCUGAGGUACGAAAGCAUGGGGAGCAAACAGGAUUAGAUACCCCCGUAGUCCCUGUCUCUUAUAU